UGAAAACUCAAUCAUUUAUUCACAAAUCACUUCCAUAUGCCUCAAAUCAAGCAUUUAAAACAUUACUCAAGUAUAUCUAUAUUGGGAAAAUGAACUUAACUUCUCAAAAAGCUCAACAGGAAAUUAUAGGUUACAAAAUAUACUAGCUUUAAGGAGCGAAUACUUUAGUGUUUAAAAAAUAGAGCCCUUUUAUAUGGAGGAAUGAAAAAAUCUUUGCCAGGUUGUAAUGAAAUAGAAUUAAAAGAUGCCCCAAAUCAAGAAUUUAAAACAUUACUCAAGUAUAUCUAUACUGGGAAAAUGAACUUAACUUCUCAAAAAUCAAGGACAAACUUUUGAUCAUGUAGGCUUAUUCCUCCCUGAGCCCGUCUUUGCCCAUGGACAACUAUAUGUGGCUCUUACUAGAUGUAAAUCUCAAAAUAAUAUGAAAAUUAUGAUUUUGCUAUCAGAAUUACAAGGAAAAAUUUAAAAAAAUGAUAAAACAUUCACACAAAAUAUCGUAUAUAAUGAAAUCUUAAAUUCAUAAUUUGUAAGAAAUUUAAAAAAGUCACCAACUUUGUUAUUCACCAUCAAAUCACCAACUUUAUACCAUCUUCCUCACCAACAACAGUUAUUUACGGCAAACUACGAGCAAGGAAAUUACAACAUCAUCUUUAAAAACGAAACCACAUUGAGCAAAGAAAAGAGAACUUCUUCACCAUCGCUAAACCAUCUUCCUCACCAACAACAUUACGGCAAACUACGAGCAAGGAAAUUUCAACAUCAUCUUCAAAAACGAAACCACAUUGAGCAAAGAAAAGAGAACUUAUAUUAUUCAUCAAUCAUUGAAUAAAAAAGACAAUUCAUCACUCUUAGUCUUAAUGGGUUGGAAUUGGCCUGAAGGAGGAGGGGGAAGGGUAAAAAGAAUUAUCGUAAAAGAACGAAUAAAAUUCUCAUCCCCGUCACUUUUGACGGGUUAUCAACUAGUAAUAUAAUAUUACAACAAUAACAAAAAUGAAAAUCUUUUAGCUCGAAGGUUGUAUAAAAUUAAUUUAAGUUUAGAUUAUUUUUUUAUUUAAAAAUUUAUUAAAAUCAACAUUCUUCACUCAAAAAAAAUAUCAUAACCAUUUAUAGCUUUUAUUUUUCAUGAUAUCGUUGUUCAAAUUGCAAUUUUCAUAAUUCUUAAUAUCCUACGAUGUUAUUAAUUUUCGUGAUCAUGUUCUAUGA